rnacentral:rRNA from 1 species
UACGGAGGGUGCAAGCGUUGUCCGGAUUUAUUGGGUUUAAAGGGUGCGUAGGUGGCCUGUUAAGUCAGGGGUGAAAGACGGUAGCUCAACUAUCGCAGUGCCCUCGAUACUGAUGGGCUUGAAUGAACUAGAGGUAGGCGGAAUGUGACAAGUAGCGGUGAAAUGCAUAGAUAUGUCACAGAACACCAAUUGCGAAGGCAGCUUACUAUGGUUUUAUUGACACUGAGGCACGAAAGCGUGGGGAUCAAACAGG